GAUGAACGCUGGCGGCGUGCCUAAUACAUGCAAGUCGAGCGAACGGACGAGAAGCUUGCUUCUCUGAUGUUAGCGGCGGACGGGUGAGUAACACGUGGAUAACCUACCUAUAAGACUGGGAUAACUUCGGGAAACCGGAGCUAAUACCGGAUAAUAUUUUGAACCGCAUGGUUCAAAAGUGAAAGACGGUCUUGCUGUCACUUAUAGAUGGAUCCGCGCUGCAUUAGCUAGUUGGUAAGGUAACGGCUUACCAAGGCAACGAUGCAUAGCCGACCUGAGAGGGUGAUCGGCCACACUGGAACUGAGACACGGUCCAGACUCCUACGGGAGGCAGCAGUAGGGAAUCGUCCGCAAUGGGCGAAAGCCUGACGGAGCAACGCCGCGUGAGUGAUGAAGGUCUUCGGAUCGUAAAACUCUGUUAUUAGGGAAGAACAUAUGUGUAAGUAACUGUGCACAGCGUGACGGUACCUAAUCAGAAAGCCACGGCUAACUACGUG
rnacentral:rRNA from 1 species